CUAAGUGAAAGUGCAAGUGACACUUGGAGCCACUUGACAAACUUUCACACUAAGAUGUGGAGUAUAGGCUAUUACAAUGUUUAGUGGUGGUCUUGGAAUUGCUAGAAAAGCAUUUUCCAAAGCCACUUAAGCUUUAAAAAUGAAAGAAGAAUGAAACACAAAUGUUCCGUGAUACAGCACAAAAGUACAAUUAAAAGUGUUUACAAAAGGACAAAGCAAGUGAAAGGUGUUGUUUGUGAUUGGUGUAGUUCCCAAAAGUGAUGUUGUAGCUGCUGAAAUGGUGCUGGAACAGCAAGAAGGAAGUGCACUUGGAGUCCAAACUUGUAGCCAAUUUAACAAGUCUUCCACUCCCUAAUAUGCUACCCCUUUGGAACAAGCAAUCUGGACUUUUAGGACCUUCACAGCAGUCAAAUAAACCAGCAAACACAGUGAGCACCAAACACGUUACUGCACCAAAUUUUUCUUUCCAAACCAGACUGCACCUUGGCUUUUUAUCAAAUAGGUUAGGGGCAAAAAUUCCAAACAAUGUAAAACAAGCAAUUAAAGGUUGGAAAGCAAGGAUGGCAUAUAAAAUAAACUUAUGACAGGCUCUAGAAUGGAAUAAUAAACCAAGAAAAUCAAAAUAUGCUGCAAAGACAUCAAAUUCACUGACUUCAAAAAUUUGGCAAAAACUGUUUGACAAAUUGCCUGAAAGAAAACCAGUGUUUUUAGGUAAAAAACCGGUUCUAGUGCAGCAGGAUUUUUGAAACUAGAUUGUAUUGGUCCAAUUGCUUUUUUCCAAACUUGUUUAAUGAUAGUUUGAUGUAUGAUUUAACAGUAGUGGUACCAAGCUCUUGCUACAAUCCAUAUAUAAGUGAUUAAACGCACCAAAACAGAUUCAAGCUAUAUGCAGUAACUAAAAUCUGACUCAUAAGAACUCAAAAUGAUUUACUUGAGAGGCAAUUUUUGCACAGCUAUGUUUAAACACCUAAUUUGAUGCUUGGAGCAACUUUGUUUUCCUAAUUUGAGGGUGUUCAAUCAGUCAAACAGCAAAGAAAGGGACCACAAUAGAAAAUCACUGGUCCAUUUACCAAAUUCAAGCAAUUUCAAUGGUCUGAAAACUGAUUUUGUACUUUUGGUGAAAACUGACCAAAUGAACAGUAACUACAGAUUUUAAUUGAGCAAAUGGACUUGUAAACACAUUGAAAAUGCACUGGCAGAUACAGAUUCACAAAAUCACCUCACUAGUUGCAAAUUAUGCAGAAAAAUUGAUAAAACUACAGCAAUUCAAAAGAAUACACUGGAAGCAAACUGGAAAGAUCAAACAAGUAAUUAAGAAAGGUCCUAAGUCUAGAUCUAGCUUCAGAAAUUGAGCUAGGGAAAUAGAAAAUGUCCUAAUACACACAAUGACAACAGCACGAUGCAAAAGCUUUAGAAAUCAGCAUGUGACAGCACUAUUUUAGAGAUUUUUGAAGCAACUCAAGUAUGCUUUUCUGAAAUCAGUGGUAAAUCUGAGUUGAUACUACUUGAAACAUGUUUAGAAACUUGAAACAAACUUGCAGCAAGGUUUAGGAACACACAAUCUGGUUAGAAACAGUUUUCACCAUAUCAAACCAGAAAUGAAAUUUGAUGUUGAAGUUGCAAUUAGUUUUGGAUGAACUCAACCACUCAUUUUUUAAUUAUGCACUUUACAAGAGUUAUGAUGAUUUGAGAGCUAGUUAAACACAUCAAACAAACUUGUGAAAAGCUUCAGAAUCAGAAAAACUUAGCCAACACAAAUUAUAGAAUAUUAAACAAGAAAAUGAGUUGUUAUCAGAGUUUGCUACUGGAAAACAAUACUUACAUUACUUUUAGCUCCAAUGAUCAAAGAUGGACAUGAUGCCAUUACUUAUACGAUCAACAUAUACCUAGAAAAUGCACUUGACUUAAACAACAACGAAGAAAUAAAGCUGGAACAGAUUUAAACCAAUGCAACAGUAAAAACACAUCAACAAUUUGCACAUGACCGAACAAAACUGGAAAAUGAUUUGUAAAGCUGGAUUCAAACUCCAAUAAAGAAAUGCACCAAUUAAAAUGAUCAAAAAAUACUAAGUAACAUGUGAAUGCACUCAAACAUCCAUAGGAACAAAAAAAUUCGAAUUAAAAAAAAGUGCAAACAGAAAAUACGAACUGCACAACACGAAAGUAAGAAAAUUAAAGGAAAGAGCAACUUAGCUCUUGACGCAAGGCGUGGACGACUGGCUCUAGUUUCCAAAUUAUGGAAGCAACCUCAAUCUCCAAAACUUGAGUGGCUCCUUAGUCCAAAAUUGGCAGCGAAAUGAAGAAUGGUUUGAAGAUGUUCGGUGCCUGUAAGGUGUUUGUAGAAAUGCUCGGUAGUGGUUUGGAUGAAUAUGUGGUGAGUUUCUAACUCAGAUGGCCUUCCAGCGGGGAAGGGAGCUAGAGGAAGAACAAGUUAAAGUAGCUCUAAGUUUUGAACUCGAAGAAAUAGCAACUGGAUGCAAUUCAACAGCAUAACACUAUCUCAAUUCAAGUUGAUUUUUACAAAUGAUGAAGCUCUCUUUUAUAGGAGAAGAGAAGCUUUGCAAGGGAAGCUACUAAGAUUACAAAGGCAUGUGCGGAAGAAGCUUUGGCCAACGUGGGUUUCAAUUUCUAGGCGAAACACAUUAAUCACGUGUUAAAUGUUUAAUCUACUGGAGCAAAAACGCUGAGCCAUCCAGGGUUUUGGCUAGGCGCGUGGUGCUUGAAAAAUCCAAUUCUUCAUGCAACUUUUAUAUUCGGCUAUUGCAACCUUCUCGGCUUCCUUUGCUUUCCUUUGCUUGGCAUGGUUUCCCAUCCUUAUUUGGUGAC
rnacentral:lncRNA from 1 species